rnacentral:rRNA from 1 species
UACGUAGGGUGCAAGCGUUGUCCGGAAUUAUUGGGCGUAAGAGCUACGUAGGCGGUCUGUCGCGUCGGCUGUGAAAACCCGGGGCUCAACCCCGGGCCGUGCAGUCGAUACGGGCAGACUAGAGUGCGGUAGGGGAGACUGGAAUUCCUGGUGUAGCGGUGAAAUGCGCAGAUAUCAGGAGGAACACCCGUGGCGAAGGCGGCUCUCUGGGACGGUACUGACGCUGAGACGCGAAAGCGUGGGGAGCGAACAGG